CGGAGGGUGCAAGCGUUAAUCGGAAUUACUGGGCGUAAAGCGCGCGUAGGCGGCUUUGUAAGUCGGAUGUGAAAGCCCUGGGCUUAACCUGGGAAUUGCAUUCGAUACUGCUUAGCUAGAGUAUGGUAGAGGGAAGUGGAAUUUCCGGUGUAGCGGUGAAAUGCGUAGAUAUCGGAAGGAACACCAGUGGCGAAGGCGACUUCCUGGGCCAAUACUGACGCUGAGGCGCGAAAGCGUGGGGAGCAAACAGGAUUAGAUACCCUGGUAGCCCACGCCGUAAACGAUGAGAACUAGAUGUCGGGGGAACUCAGUCUCCCGGUGUCGCAGCUAACGCGUUAAGUUCUCCGCCUGGGGAGUACGCCGGCAACGGUA
rnacentral:rRNA from 1 species